GCAUUGUGGGUUUAUGGUAUGCUAUUGCACCAAUUGUGCAUUCAAAUUUUGAAACUCAAAAUUACAGUUAUGCCACAUUUUCCCUGCAGACCUUGAUUUCCUCUUUUAACUCUGUUACUGUCAUCACCUCUGGGCAGAAGUAGGGCAUGUCUAGACCAUCAAACAAAAACAGAACUAAAUCCUUUUGGGAAAUCACAUACCCCGUAUGCCCUAGGGGCCCCUACAGUAGAAUCUGAUGCUGACUUUUACUAUGGUAAGGAUGAGCAAAUUCCUCUUAAAUAAUACAGUUUUCUGUGUAUGUGGAUAAGAAUAAUCUGAUUACCUAUUAAUACUAGAAGAUGGUCAUAUUCUUAAUAUCCAGGAUAAGAUAUUCCAAAUUCUACAAAGCCCAUGCCCAUUAAGACCAAGUGAAAUAGAUAGAUAGAUAGAUAGAUAGAUAGAUAGAUAGAUAGAUAGAUAGAUAGAUAGAUAGAUAGAUAGAUAGAUUUAAUUUAUUAAUAAUUCUAAUUCAUUAGAAUAGCCAGUUCCCACAUCUGACACAGAAGAACUAUAUCAUUUAAAUUAUUUUAAGAAUGUUUUCAUGUUUUCCUUAAUCAGAAUAUCCUUAUUCAUAAGUUGUUCUACCUCUGCUUCACAGACUAUGAGAAUCUGCGCAUUGGAGGCCUGAUCUUUGCUGGGGUUAUUAAUAAUUCUAAUUCAUUAGAAUAGCCAGGUCCCACAUCUGACACAGAAGAACUAUAUCAUUUAAAUUAUUUUAAGAAUGUUUUCAUGUUUUCCUUAAUCAGAAUAUCCUUAUUCAUAAGUUGUUCUACCUCUGCUUCACAGACUAUGAGAAUCUGCGCAUUGGAGGCCUGAUCUUUGCUGGGGUCAUUGUGGUACUAUCGGUCCUCCUCCUGACAGGUACGUUUUAGCCUCUCUGUGUGUGUGAGUGUGUGUGUGUGUGUGUGUGUGUGUCAUAUGAGUCAUAUCAAAUCCCUGAUGUGUAAUGACUGUCUGGGCCUGUAGGUAACCGCAUCAGACGGUGUGGCAAGCGUAAGGUAAGCACCCUUAACUUACUGAUGUGUUUCUGAUGACAUCUAGUGGUCAGUGUUAUGUACAAACAUUGUCACUUUUUAUAUAUAUUUACUGGAGUAGGUUUACUUUGAAAUUGACCGUAAUGUAAUAUAUACACAUAUGUAAAACACACAUAGAGUAAUAAGAGAAAAUGUUCUUUUCACAGUGAACACAGAGAACACAGUGCAUUGCUUUUAGUGUUUUGUUCAACAUAUUACUGUAACUGUAG
ensembl:lncRNA